rnacentral:tRNA from 1 species
AUUUUUCUAGUAUAUUGUACAAGUGAUUUCCACUCACUAAGUCUUAGGCCCCCCUAAGGAAAAAUA